UCUGCUUCCUCGCAGAUGUCAGCCCCACCCCAGGAAUCGACUGAAAAUUUGGUUCCAUACCUGGACACGGAUUCAGCUGGAGAGCUGCCCCUGGGGUCAGAGCAGUUCUUGGCUGCACACCAGGAUUUAAAUGACAAGCUGACUCCGCAAGAAAGGCUCCCAGAGGUGGUUCCAAUGGUGAAUGGGGAUCAGAACCAGACCCUAGUUCAGCCUCCUCGCCUCAAAAGUAAGUUUCAAACUGCAGAUCUAGAUUGGGGUGCAGGUCAUCAGGCAGAUGAAAUACUUGUUCCACUAGACAGUAAGGUUUCAAAACCAACCAAAUUUAUUAUUUUGCCCAAGAACCUGAAGAAAGAUCUAGCUCAGCGUUGGAGCCUUGCUAAGAUUGUUGGAAUUCCACACCAAUUAUCCAAAUCUCAGCAUCAGAAACAGACUUUGCAGGCUGAAUAUUCGAGUAUAGACACACUGUAUCCCGGCAGCUGCCUCCAGAACUCCGGGUUAACUUGGAUGAGCCUCCAGGGCUCCCGGAGCAAGUUGGACUUUCUCAAUUCCAUCUAGAGCCUGAAACUCAAAAUCCAGAGACCCCUGAAGACAUCCAGUCCUCUUCACUCCAGCAAGAAGCCCCAGCGCAGCUUCCACAGCUCCCUGAGGAGGAAGAACCUUCUUCAACCCAGCAGGGGGCCCCAGCUCCGCCUCCAGAAUACUCUAUGGAGAGUCAAGCUCAAACUCUACCGAAUCAUGAGGUGACAGUUCAACCACCAGGUGAGGGUCGAGCUUAUUAUAACUUGUCCAACAUUACAGUUAAACCUGCAGAUGUGGAGGUUACCAUAACUUCAGAGCCUACCAAUGAGACAGAAUCUUCCCAAGCCCAGCAGGAGGCCCCAAUUCAGUUGCCAGAGGAGGUGGAACAUUCUGCAACCCAACAGGAGGCCCCAACUGAGCCUCCAGGUCCUCCUAUGGAGCAUGAACUUUCCAUCAUUGAGCAGGAGCAGCCAGCUCAGCCUUCUGAGUCUUCUGAGGAGGUUGAAUCAUCUCAGACCCAGCAGGAGACCUCAGCUUAGCCUCCAGAAGAGAUGGAACCUUCUGCAAACCAAGAGGAAGCCCCAACUGAGCCUCCAGGUCCUCCAAUAGAGCCUGAACUUUCCCCCAGUGAGCAGGAGCAGCCAGGUCAGCCUUCUGAGUAGGUUGAAUCUUCUCAGACCCAGCAGAAGACCCCAGCUCAGCCUCCAGAACAUCAUGAAGUCACAGUUUCAACUCCAGGUCACCAUCAGACUCAGCAUUCAGAUUUGCCCAAUGUCUCUGUUAAGCCUCCAGACAUGCAGCUCACCAUAGCUCCGGACACCACAACAGAGGUUGAACUUUCUCCUACCAUGCAGGAGACCCCAACUCAGCCUCCUAAAAAAGUUGUACUCCAACUUCCAGUAUAUCAAGAGGUAACAAUUCCAACACCAGGUCAGGAUCAAGCUCAGCAUCCAAUGUCACCCAGCGUUACAGUUCAACCUUUGGACCUGGGACUCCAGAACCCACUCCAGAACCCACUACGGAGGUUGGACAUUCUACACCCCUGAAGAAGACUAUAGUUCCUCCCAAGCACCGUGAAGUGACACUUCCACAUCCAGACCAGGUUCAGACUCAGCAUUCAAACCUGACUCAAGCCACAGUUCAACCUUUGGAUCUGGGGCUUACCAUCACUCCAGAAUCCACGACAGACUUUGAACCUUCUACAGCCCUGACGACUACAGCUCCUCCUCCAAAACUCCCUGGGGUGACACUUCCACCUUCAGACAAGGGUCAGGCUCAGCAUUCAAACCUGACUUAAGUCACAGUUCAACCUCUGGACCUGGAGCUUACCAUAACUACAGAACCUACUGCAGAGGUUAAACUGCCUCCAACCAUGGAGAAGACCUUAACUCAGCCUCCAGACCUGGGGCUUGCCAUCACUCCAGAGCCCACUACAGAGAUUGGACAUUCUAUAGCCCUGGAGAAGACUACAGUUCCUCAUCCAGACCAGGUUCAGAGUCUGCAUCGAAAACUUACUGAAGUCACAGGUCCACCUACUGAGCUAGAACCUACUCAGGAUUCAUUGGUUCAGUCUGAAAGUUAUGCCCAAAAUAACUGCACCAGAGGAACAAAAGGCCUCCGCAAGCACCAACAUAUGUGAGCUCUGUACCUGCAGAGAUGAGACGCUGUUGUGUAUUGAUCUCAGCCCAAAACAGAGGCUCUGCCAAGUGCCUGUGCUAGAGCCCAACACCUAUAAUGGCACCUUCACCAUCUUAAAUUUCCAAGGAAACUAUAUUUCUUAAAUUGAUGGAAAUGUAUGGAAAGCAUACAGUUGGACCGAGAAACUAAUUCUCAAUGAAAAUUAUUUGACUGAAUUACCUAAGGAUUCAUUGAAGGCCUGCUAUCCCUCCAGUAUUUAGAUUUAUCCUGCAAUAAAAUACAGUCUAUUGAAAGACAUACAUUUGAACCACUACCAUUUUUGCAGUUUACAAAUCCUGGUUGCAAUUUACUUACAGAACUGAGCUUUGGAACAUUUCAGGCCUGGCACGGAAUGCAGUUCUUACACAAGUUAAUUCUCAAUCGCAAUCCUCUGACAACUGUUGAAGAUCCAUAUCUCUUUAAACUGCCAGCAUUAAAAUAUCUAGACAUGGGAGCAACGCAAGUCCCAUUUACAACAAUUAAGAACGUUCUCAUGAUGACUGUUGAACUGGAGAAACUGAUCUUACCUAGCCAUGUGGUCUGCUGCCUCUGCCAUUUUACAUUUUACAGCAUUGAGGCUGUCUGCAAGACAGUCAAGCUGCACUGCAACAGUGCAUGUCUGACAAACACCAUACAUUGUCCUGAAGGAGCAUCUGUAGGGAAUCCAGAAGGAGCAUUCAUGAAGGUGUUACAAACCCCGAAGAAGCACACGAGCACUGAGGUGACUAUUGAGCCGGAGACGGCCUCAGACAGCAACGGCAUCAACUUGUCAGUCUUUGGGAGUGGACAGCUAGACACCAAUGGCGAGAGGGAUGUUAUCAGUGCACUAAGUUACAUCUUGCCUUAUUUCUGAGCAGUAAAUCUAGAUGUGAAAUCAAUGUUGUUACCGUUCAUUAAACUGCUUUCUUCAAAUGUGCAAGAUGGAGAUAGGCCCUGGGUAUUUUGAAAAACAAUACAAAGAGCCCCUCUCUUCAACCUGUAUCCAACAACUCAACUUAUGAAAAUAAAUUGAGAAAGCUGUAUUUGCUGGAAAAUAUGUUAGAUGCAGAAAUACAAGAAAAAAAUCGAUGAAGUUAAAAGGGAACAAAAAACUUUCAUGCUUAUGCAGCCCAGCUUUCUAGGACAAAUUUAAACACCAAAUAUUUGAAAAGAAAUUAGAAACUAUUCAGCUACAGGAAAACAGCCUGGCAAAGAUUCAAAGUGUAGGCAAAAACCUGCAGAGAGUGAACAGACUCCUCAUGGGCCCAAAGAGCAUCCAGAAAAGGCACUUGGAAGAGGUGGGAAAGCAGAGCAUCAGGAGGGAAGAUGGGCCCAGCCAUUUGCGGAGAACACUGCCAAAGAAAAAAGGCUCGGGAGUCCAACCCAAGGGAGCUGAAACAGCCUCACAUAGAGCAGGGGUCUGAGAAGUUAAUGGGAAACACCGUCUACACCAAGCUUUCGUUCACCCAAGAGCAUAAGGCAGCAGUCUCCUUUGUGCUGAAACUCUUCUCCAUGGCAUGUCUUCUGCCUCCACCUCUGCAAAAGCCCUACCUCAGGUCAGGGACAGAUCGAAAGACUUAAUCUACACCAUUUUCAUUUUAGAAAAUGCAAAGGCUAGAGUUAAAAAUAUGAAGACUGCUAAACCAAUCGUACAUUCCAGAAAAAAGUACCGCUUUCAUAAAACUCACUCCCACAUGGCUCACAGAACACCCAAGGCCGAAAAAGAGUUCAAACUUCAGAAAGAAAAGUUAUCUCGAUAGACCGAUGCUCGCAAAGAGGCCUCUGUUCUCUUCAGCGAAGAGCCUAUGAAUUCCCCUUCACAAGGGGCUUUUUCAUCUUUAGGAGACCCCAGCCCUCAGGAAAAUGCUCUUCUGGAAGUAUUUGCUCCUUCAGAACGUUUUAUAGAAAACACUAAAGUAAAAAACACAACUGUAAGAAAUGCCUUUGAAGAAAACAUUUUUAUGGAAAACACUACUAUGCCAGAAGGCAUCAUCUCUGAAAACACAGACUACAAUCAUCCUCCUGAGGCAGAUUCCGCUGGGACUGCGUUCAACUUAGGGCCAACUAUUACACAAACGGAGACAAAAUGGGAAUACAACAAUGUGGGCACUGACCUGUCCCCCGAACCCCAAAGCUUCAAUUACUCAUUGCUCUCGUCCCCAGGUGAUCAGUUUGAAAUUCAGCUAACUCAAGCAGCUACGGUCCCUCAUCCCCAACAACAAUGUGAGCAGGCUCAUUUCUCAUGUUAUCCAGACCUUGAAGAUGGACUGCUCUGAGACCCACGUGCAAUUGGCCUGUGCCAAGCUCAUCUCCAGGACAGGCCUCCUGAUGAAGCUUCUCAGUGAGCAGCAAGAAGUAAAGGUGUUCAAGGCAGAAUGGAUACAGACCAGUGGAAAACUGAGAACUAGAUCAACGAGAUCAACGAGAGCACGGAAGCCCAGAAUGAAUAGAAAGAGCAGAAGUCAAGCGAGCUCACAAAAGAAGUUCCAGGAUAUGGCUAUAACAACAGACUCAUCUUGGCAAUAUUUGUGACUGAAAUACUAACAACUUUAAUUCUAGUUUUCUGCCUCAUUGAGAUUUAUUCUCACCGAAGGUCAUCACAAGAAGAUGAAAGAUUCUCAAGGGGCAUUUUCAGAUUUCUGCCAUUGAGGAGAUGCUCUUCGCGAAGUGAGACUCAGGUUGGAUCUUUCUCACUCAGACAGCCGCUCUGGCUUAAAGAUAUGUACAAACCUCUCAAUGCCACAAGAGUAAAUACCAAGCAUGGAAGCUGCACAAGAAGUCAUCUAACAAGGACGAGAUCCUCAACAGGGACCUUGGGGACAGCGAAGCCCCAACAGAGAAGGGGGAGGAGAGUGAAGCCCUGCCAUAGGAGGAGAACACAGAGUGACCCCAGCCCGCCUCAGGCCUCCUGCAAAAAUACUUAGCAUAAA